AAUUCUGAAAGGUUGCCUCAUCGCUGGAAAUAUGUGUAAUGUUGGAGCAAUGCUAGAUUAUAAAAUUUAUCGUUAAUUAAUAAUGAAACACACAAAGGUUGAGCAGUUGUUGUCAUCAGAAACAUCUACCAGGAACUUACAGGGGGUCAUGAGAUAGCUCUACAGCAAACAAGAAAGAGAAGAAAUGCUUCUUGCCCUGGCAGAAUUAUAAGUGGGCACACUUGCUAUGUUAUACAAUAUUAGGCAUGCAGUAGAAAAAAACAAGGAACCAUACAAAUCACCAGGUGUCUGGUCACAAACUCUGGCAGAGCUUCACACCAAGCAGGCAAGCUACAAGAUUUGGAACAACACAGCUUAUAGAUGAAAGUUAAAGGCAUUUAAUUUACUUGAAAACAGAGGAAGAAAGGACCAACACAUAAAAGAACAUUCAUUUUGAGGGAUGAGCAAUUCAAUUGAGUUCAAGGGUAGAGCAAUGGUGACUUCUCAGCCACCUGCUAUCAAUUUGACAUGUAUUAAGCACACGACUGGGUUAAUAAAAGUGGGAGUUUGGGUUAAAAUGCCCUUUGAGAGGCCCUGAAAAAAUGUUUGUCUAAGAAAGUUGAAACUAUGGAAGAAAAGGUGGUCAACUUCAGAGACAUAGAUGUAACUCCUGCAACGUGCUUCAACAUGGUUUAGCCAAGCGGAAACUUUUUCUUCCUAGUGUAUGCUCUUUAACGUAUUUAAGAUGUCCUUAACAUCUUUCAGAAAUCUACUUUUCUACCAAUAUUAUAUGGGUUAAUAUUUUUCAUAGAUAAAGCACAAAUAGUAGAGGGCUAAUUUUCAGACUAUGCUGCAUUUAUGAAGCAAAGCAAACCUCAUCUGCUUUCAUGACUUGAAUGGAGGAGAAUGGUUAGAGACUAUUAAAAGAGGAGAGGAGAGGAAAGAAGAGGCAAGAGCAAGAACAUACAGCAGACUGGCUGCUCCAACUUGGCAGUGGUCUCUCUAGUUCCUGGAGUCCUGUCCAUGAAUGAGGUUGGACUUGCAGCCACCAGCCAUUGCCAGUGGAGAGGCAGCGCCAGACUCCUACCAGCACUCACAUGGGUGGCAAUGGAAUGAAGUCACCACAUUUAGCAAAGGGUGAUGGCACAUUUCUUGGGUUUGCUAUGGGAGUAACCUUCUGUUUAAAUGUAUUACACAGAGCUCAUCUCUAACAAAAUCAUCUUCCUAUUUGGUUAACACUGUAAAUGAAAAUUCUGAACAGUGUGUGUUUACGCAAAGGUAGAAUCUAUACUCUCAGACUGCUAUCCAUUUGUGUGACCAUAAAGUCUUUAAAACUGAAGUAACGAUGGGGCAGAGAGAGGCAGUAUUUAAUAUCAAAAAGCCACAUGGUUGUUACAAUUUUAGGCAAGCUUAAGCAGAAAUUGUAUAUGUAAGGAAUAAAAUGUCAAUGUUACUUUCAGUUUGAAUUUCUACCACUGAAAUUUUAAUUCAAUCCAAAAUAUUCCUCUGCACAUGAGUCAGGCAGAAUGACCAAAUGUUGAUGCUGCGUGAUGAUGAUGUCCAUAGCCUGGACCUCUUCCCAUCUGGCUCCUUGGAUUACCUCACAGCCCUUCCUAGGUACCCAGAAUGUUUGCUCUUUGGUUAUAAGGCCAGAUGAAUGAGCAAAAACUCCCACCUAAAUCUGUAGCAUGCGGACAACCAAAUGAAUAGAUAUUUGAUUCUACUCACAGAUAUCAAACUAAAUAUGUUAAAUUCUAAAGAGAGCUAUUUCAACACUCUCAAUCUUCAAAAUGGAAAAGCUGCUUCUGUACUUAUGUAAAAUAUAAUAUGCUAUGUUAUACUAUUUGUUACUUCACAAAGUUUUUAACACAUCAUUUUAACACCUCCAAGUCUAUAAAUGUAUACUGCAGCAGAAGCCAUAUUGAGCAUAUAUAAUCAAAAUCGAAUCCUAUAUUCCUGCAGCUCUCACCACCAUCAAAGCUUGCCAUCUGGAGAAAACACAGGGCGACCGUGGCCUACAGAUAGAUGCUUAGAGAAUCCAACCUUCAUCCUGAGCAUGAGGGUGUUGGCGUUUGGAAAAGAGGAAGAAGGGGAAGCAGGCAAAUGUGGGCUUGGAGAGUGACAAUGCUAAUGAAAUAGGGUAAAUAACAAGCUUGGAAGUGAAGACCAGGCCAGUUUCCUAGAACACUUUUCCAUUCUGUAUCUUGAGACUAUGGAGACAGGAAGUGGAGAGAGCAGAUAAAUCCAUGACACUGUACUCUCCGGGAUCAGCUCCUGCCAUUCCGACUGCCCUAAUAUCCUUUCCUGCCUCCUCUCUCUUCUAGUAUUGCUCUCAGAUCAUGCUGGAUAUGCUUAAUAUAAACUGAAUUUAUCAUCUUCUAGAGAUUCCAAUAUCGACUUUAUGUCAAUAACCUCCCAAAUGCCUGUAUUUUGUUCUGAAGUUUCCUCGGGGCAGUAUUUUCAGCUCUCUAUUGGCCAUACCACUUGGAUGAAUAAAAAGAACGUCAAUCUCCAU
rnacentral:lncRNA from 10 species